GACGAACGCUGGCGGCGUGCUUAACACAUGCAAGUCGAACGAAGUGGCGAACGGGUGAGUAACGCGUAAUCAACCUGCACUUCAGAGGGGGACAACAGUUGGAAACGACUGCUAAUACCGCAUACGGAAGGAGGGGAUUGCGUCUGGUUAGCUAGUUGGAGGGGUAAAGGCCCACCAAGGCGAUGAUCAGUAGCCGGGCUUAGAGGGUGAACCGCCACCAUGGGACGGGGACACGGGCCAGACUUCCUAGGGGGGGAGCAGGGGGGGAGUUGUGGCAAUUGGCGGAAGGCUGGAGGAGCAACGCCGCGUGAGUGAUGACAGGCUUCGGGUUGUAAAGGUCUGUUAAUCGGGACGCGGUACCGGAAUAGAAAGCCACGGCUAACUACGUGCCAGCAGCCGCGGUAAUUC
rnacentral:rRNA from 1 species